GCAUAGAGUUCCAUAACCAAGACAUCACCAUUGCAUCAUGUUCAUCCCAUGCAUCAAACGUGGGGUCUUCUUUAGAUGGUCCUGUACCAAGAAGGUGUCGUAUUUUCCCUUUACCCUUUAAAAAGAUCACCAGAUGAAACUGUAGAGUUAUUCUCUACAGUUGCAGAAACAGUUCCAGAGGCUGGAAUAGUUGCAGCAGUCACAUUUUCUGGCAUGGUUCUUGAGUGGUUUCAAUCUUUGGGCAGAUAAAGAUUAAAAAAAUAUAUAUUUCAAGACAAGAUGAAUAAAACUAGUAAGGAAUAAGCCUAAAGCUCUGAUACCAUGUGGAAUAAGAUAGUUGAAUAAUUUUAUUCAUAUCUUUCUAUGUCAUAUACAAGGCUUUAUAUACAUGA